CUGUUCUAAAAGCACCCACAAAACUGUUUUGUCUAUCUCUAAAUUUUUUUGAUGUCUGCUCCUGAGUGGAUGUCUGAUAGUGGUGGGGGGAAUAAGGCCAAACCUUGGCAUGUCAGUGCUGUUAGAAUGCAAACAGUCCAUGAUGGUUUUGGUCUGAUGGGGAAGAGGCAGAAACCUGUGGGCAGAGCUAGCAGGAGGCUGGGCCUCACCUCGUGCUUGGAGCAAGGCAAGUGCUACCAGUGCGACCUCACACUCGGAAAACUUUGUUUUGUUUUGUUUUUUUUUAAAUAAUACUAAACUUGAUUUGCAUUUUAGAUACUUAGACUUGUGUAUGACAUAACAGCUUUCCAGUUUUGUCUAUGGAGAAGUGAAUUGCAUUAAAACUUUACAUUGUCUACCCUAGGAAAAACAGAAAGGUGAUAAUGUUUACUGUAGUGAUGUGUAAAUACAGAAGUGUUAGCCGAUGAGAAAAAAUCGCUAUGCUGUCAUUAGCUUUUGCAUUUUUCCAUUGCUGCUUUUGCUCUGUAUGCUGUGAACCUGACAGACAUAAGUGCUUACCCCAUAGUUUAGAAGAGCCUUGCUGACUUCUAUCCACACUUGAAAUAAAAAAACCCUUGGCCACAGUUUUCAAACCUUGCAGUGCAAGUUAGCUACAGUGACAAACUGAUACAGUGCUGCCGUAUUCCAGUCUUUUCUCUGUGUGGAAAAUAAAUCAGCAUGAAUGAUCAUAAGAACAAAUCCAAGCUAUGCCACUGAUCCCUCUGGGUGGGUGGAUCCAUCUUAGCGUGCUCUGACUGGCUUUUAGGUAACUGAAAUUAGUACUGGAAACUGGAAUGGAAAAAAUGGCUAAAAUAAAUAAGUUGAAGCAUCCAUAAUCAUAGGUACGCAGUAUCUGCUUAAUAAUAAAACCAAAGCAGACACUUAAGAACCCUUAUAAAAUUCCAAGGAUCCAAACAAAAGAAUAACUGAAGAGCUUACACAAUUGAGUUGAAGAUACAGAGUUCUUUACUUAUAUUUCACGAGAAGAAAGUAACGGCAUAGUAAUUAAAUAAUACUAUACUACGUUCAAAAACAAAGUCUCCAACUUCCCCCUCAUUUCCUGUAGUUCAAGCCCUGUUUAAAUCACUGUAAAUCUGCUUGGCACUUACUGUGCUCAGCUAUGCCAGUUCAUGCGCUGCUCUGGAUCCCAUUCGCUCUCAGUGCUGGCAGCUGUCCCGGCUGCCUCACACCUUCCAUGCUCUGAAAGAGUUGUUUUGAAUCACAGUGCUGACUGGAGCUACAAAUGUAUGCCUGGGAGGUCAGGCAGCUGCACACGUUGCCUUGUACAUUACAGAUUCCUUAGCUUGGAAGCUAAAAAGCUGCCAGAAAUCAUUUGUCUGAAACUAUAGUAAUUCUACAUGGAUUGAUUUGUCUGUAUUCCACUCUGGGAUGAAGUGUGCGGUAUGGUAGUUAGUGGGAAUCUGCAAGCAUUUUGAGCUGGGUUUUUUUACAUAUGUGUAUACCAUGUCUCACAGCGUAUGUUAAUAAUGACUUUUUCUUCUCACAUAGUUCAUCUGUAUUUCCACAGAUUACAAUUAUAUUUUCAAAUGUUAUAGAAUGAAACAGCAUUUGAGGAGUCCCUUACUUACCUUCACAUUGUUGUGAGUUCCUCCAAAACAAUCUCAUAUUCACAAGUCAGAAGUCUUUGACUACUGGCAGGGUAUGCGUGUAGCUAUGGAUGGGAGACAUUAAUAAAAAUGGUGUCUUCUGAAAAUUGUCAUAGUUCAUAGAUAGUACAUAUGAAGAUCUGAAUGGUAGAGAUCUUGUGGCCAAACAUGAUUAUUUAUUGAUUUUUCUCCCAGUGGUGAUGGAAUGUUGUGAAGAUGUUUUCUAUUUAUGAAAGUCAGUCCAAUCUCAGAGGAAGAUUGUUUUUUUCCCUGGGGUACUUACACUUAGCUACGUUGGAUUUAAAAACUCCUUUCAUUUUUAUAUUGCUGUGGCAAAGCUCAUGUAAGUCAAACUAAUAUUUUCUUUAGUUUAGACUUAAUUUCUAUGAAAUUCAGAGGGUCCAGACAUACUUUCUUCCUGACAUAAAAUUCUUCUGACUUUCACUUAUUAUUUAUACAACCUUCUAGAGUAUAUCUCAGAACAUUGAUUUAUGAAGGGUUGGUCAUUGCAUAGAGUGAAGCUCAGCCACUCAAACUCACAGGGGUUUAAUGUGUUUAGUGAACAUGAAUUUAAUAAAGUACUUAGCUGCAGAUUCCAGUGAACCCAAAAAGAUUUAUGGCAUUAUGAGGGAAACCUUACAGUAAUUCCUGUAUUUCAUAGCUUGACACAGUGCAUUGCUCCAGUAAUUUUACUGGCACUUCCAUUUAUGGUCCUUUUUUUUUCAGUUUUCCAUAAAAUCAUAUCAGAGAGAACUUCACGCUCUGCUAACAAAUAAAAACAAGAAUUGAAAGAUUUUGAUAUAUCUGUGGGGUGGACCAGCUGUAGUCCUUAACCCAAUCGAUGCUGUAGACAAUUUCUGCUGCUGCAAAGCUAGAAGAGAAUACUGCUCUUGAUUUGUAUGUUUCAUUACUGUAAUAUAAAUGUAUUAUUUUAUUUUGCUCUGUUUUUCUUCCCUUUAAUAACCACCUAAAAGAAACAGGCAAUGAAAUGCUAAAAGGGAGGAUGAAUGAUACACUGUAAGGCAAGAGGCUCUAUGACAAAUUCCACACAUUCACACUGCCAACAUUUAUCCACAAUGUUGGCAAAAUGAAAAACACUUCUGAGUUGCUCUGUUUAUUUAUAAGUCAGACAAUUCCUUUCUUUUUCGUGGUAGGAGACAGCAUUGGAUAAUCUGACUCUUAUCACUGUCAGGUUAGCCACCAAUUUUAAUUGUGACAUUGUGCAACUCUAACACCUGUCUGUGUCUCCAGCUUCUUCAUCUGUAAUAGUUAUGUAUCUCAGAUUAUUACGCUGACACUAAGGCUUUAUUACAUAUGAAAAUCAUUAUUUACGUGAAUCUCAUUUAGCUCUAUCAACAAACUGCUCUUUCACUGUUGUGUUGGCAGUUUUCAAAUGAAAUUGCUGCACUUACGUUUUUCCAGACUGAUGAAUAUAAACUCAUCAGCUAAAACUCAUACAGUUAAAAACUUCUCAGGCGUUGAAUGAUUGACCAGGUUUCAGAAAGUGAAGAAUGCCAACAGAUGUACAAAAGAGCAUUAGAAAUAAAAAUCACUGAGAGUUGAUUUAAAGUCUUCUAGUGUUACAUCAGUGUACACUUGAGUAUAUGCACCUGUAAUCCUAUAACAUGUAAUACAUUUCUUGCAUAUGAAGAAUAUUACUGAGAAUGAAAUAAAUUUUAAUCUUUAGAUUGCAGGGUUAACGUGUUGGCAGUUGGUCCAAACAUCUAAGUGUUCUAAAUAAACAUUCCUAGAAAUUAUGUUGCUGUACCCAGCCUCCAGGUAUGGUGGCCUGGGACAGUUUGGCUAAUUCUGAGUAUUGCAGCAAUCCUUUAAACAAAACAAGCAAGGAAAGUAAAGCCUCUUAGGCCGUGAAAACCAAAUAAUCACAGGCCCUGAUGAAUGCAAAUGCCAUUUCUGUUAGAUACUUAGAUUUUUAAGAUACCUUUGUUUAAAAAGAAACCAUGAAACCUAAAAAACAAACUUUGACUAAUUCUUUGUUUGUAGAAUGAUUUACAUUAAUAAUACAUUAACUAUUAAAAAGGAGAGAAUUUAGAGGAGAAACCUUUUGUAUUCACAGUGCAAAUGUAGUAAAUUGAUUUUUAUUUUUAAUAAAGCCAGAGACCAGUGUUCUAUAUUCUUCUUAAAAAACAAAGGUCUGACAUUUUUUUUCCUUUGAAAUACUGAGAAUAACCUAAAGGCCUGGAAUGGAGAUUUGGUGUUGGCAGGAAAUUGGCCUUCCUGUUGAGCAUGUGCUUUUUGUUAUUUCUGUGAAAAAUCUACAUAUUUAACCAAGUUUUAACCCUUUCAGACAUAAUUCCUAGUAGGAUCUCUGAAUGCUAGUUGUUACUAGCAAAAUCUUUGGGCAUUCCAUUGCUUAAUUACUCUUCUGGCCACACUCUGCCCAGGUUGGAUGCAAACUGGCCCCACAGGGCUUUGGAAUAUGCUCUGUCUCCUUAAUGUGACUUAAUUUUAUGUCCCUCUCAAACUAGACCCUCUGGUAUAGGAAAUUCAGCUAUAUAUCUCUGACUGUUUUUUAUUUAACUUAACCCCCCUGGUUUGGGACAUCUGUCUAUCUCACUUGCUUGGUAAAAAACAAGUAGAAAAAAAAUAACAUCUUAAAACAAUUACAGCUGUUUCUGAAGUGUUUGACCACAGAUGUAGAGCCCAAAUAGAUGAAUUACCUGGCAAGCUGGUUAGGCUGCCCUGCCUCUCUGCUGGCAGCUCCUGACCCAUAACAAGGCUACAGAACCCACAGAAUGAUGGCUUUGUGGUCACAGAAGUUCACAGCUCUGGAUGUUAAAAUUUAACGAAUAGGAAUAGGCAGUAGUUUAAUUUCACAUGCUCAGCAGUGAACUGUAGAGUUUUUUCCUCCAGUUUUGUUCUUAGGAAAUAGCAUAAAUAAUUAUGGACGCAAACUGUAGAUGUGGCUGGUAGGGAAGGAGUACAGUGUGGAAAAAGUUGACCUUCUUUGAUAUAAGUAGCUGUUAAUGGCCGUAAAGAAUUUGCAGAUACUGAGCCUUUCCACCUGCUAUUAAGAGAGUUACGAAACUUGCUAGUUUCUCAUGUUUAUGUUGGUUUAAGGACCUUGAUCUGUCAAUAGGACUCUGCACAUCUCCCAAACUGCUAAAAUUCUGAAUUAACUUUCUACAUAACAGCUUUACAUUCAAACAACCUCCUGUGAGUUACAAUAAAGUAGGUAUAUACCAAAUUAUCUUCAAGGCCUUACCAACUGAAUAUUUGUAAGGAUUUGAACUUGUGUAAAUGACACAUGAUUAAAUCAACAUUACGAAGUCCACUGCAGAUAUUAGGAAGGGAUUUCUAGAAUCAUCUUCUCCCUCAUCUGGCUCUUCUCCAGAGUUCUGUAGUUACCUACAGUAAGUCACUAAGUCAUCUAUGGAUAUGUUUUCUUCAAAAAUAACCAUCCUCUGUACAGGCAGUGUUUGCUUGGAAAGGAUCCGUCUGCCCCAUAGCACAGAACUGCGGCUGACAGGGAUUCUGGGCACCUUGCUGAGCUUGUUUCUGGCUGCACCAGCCCUAAAGCAGCAGAAUGUGCACACAACAGCUAUUUCAGUUCCAUGUAUUCCCGUGGGACAAAAUACCAGUAAAGAAGAAGUGCCAUUACAGAAGCGGAGUGUGCUUGUCCUGAAGCUUUUCAGAAAAUACUUUGUAGUUAUUUUAGCUCCAGAAAGCUAACAAUUAGAUCAACAAAUUUGUUUCACCAAGAAAACUGGGCAGGAAAGGUAGUCAGUGCCAUGAAUGAUCUCCUUAUUGAAUUCAGGUUUGCUAACUCAAAUUGCCAUUCCAAACUCCAGAUUGCUAAAUUCCAUUUUAGCAAUCCAAAAUUUAAUUUCAGCAAUGUGGAGUUUAUCCCUUUCAUUUCUGAAGCCAGAUAAGAAGGAAUUGUCUGUUACUUUUCUUAGCAAAAAAGUUCUUUCAGAUGAAGUUUUAUUUCUUUCAGAAUUCCCCUAGUUUCGAGACUUUGCUUUUUAGAAAUUUCUCUUGAGAAAUCAAUUUUUUAAAUUCCCACUAAUACAGUUGUAUGAAAGCAUGACUAUAAUCAAUAAUCAUAUUGUAAUGGAUAGGGAGAGAGUUUUUCAAUCUGUUGUUUUCACUAUAAAACUAAAAUUGUGCCCAAGGUCUGCUGAUUAUCUGCCAUAGCUUCCAUAUUGCCAGAGCAAUGAAUACAGAAAUUGUAGCAGGAGACACAGAACUUUUUUUUUUUUAAAAAACAGAAUAGGUUAUGUGUAUCACCUCAUAUAUUCUUGACAAUGCAUCUCCCAGAUACAACGAAGAACCAAAAUGAGAGGGGGUGUGGAGAAACAACAGUAUUCUUUAAAAUGAGAGAAAUUUUCUUUUUAGAAAGAUGAGAAGCAUAAUAAUAAAAUAGACUUGUUGAGGCAAACACGUUGAAAUCAUUCAGAAAAGAAAACUGCAUGACAUCAUGUGAGAAGGUCAGAACCAAAAAAGGACAAGUUUUAUAGGCCCAAAAGCUUCUAUUCAUUCCUAAAGAAUUUCUCCUAGUCACACAAGAAUUGAGAGAAAGAAAUAAAGCCAUCAUCCUUGGAACACUCACCAAGUACAAAUAUGUUGUCACAGACAGGAAAGGUCAAAAAAGUAAAAAUACAGUAAAAAAAAAAGACAUGGUUUUUAAUCAGGAAUGCUUACUGAGAAAUACUGACUUACUGCUCGCGAAACCGGAGCUGAUGCUUACUCCCAGUAAUCCAAAGCCUGGAGCCAUUGUGAAGCACUGAAUGCUCUUGUUGUCUUUUUCAGCAAUCUACUGCUUGCAUAUUAGAAAAAUAAUUUAGACACUUUUUUUCUAUCUGGAUCUCAGAGCAGCAGGGAGAGUUUUACACCUUUAUGAAUUCAGCAUGUGGAUUCCCAGGCGCUUGUGAUUUUCAGGAAAAUAAUCUACUUCACAAGCUGGUUUGGGCCCUGUAGUUCACCAUGCUCUGAAGCAAAUCAGUCUGUUGUCUAAACAGCUUAAGAGGCAAUUAAACAUUCAGGUUCAGAAGACUUCCAGGAGUUAAGUACUACAUAAUAUUAGUAUUUAUGCUCACUGUCAUAUAAUAAAUUAAUACUCUGCUGAGGGCAACAUGGAAAAUAUUGCCAUGUUGGUUGGACAUUACAACCCUUACUUUUCUUCCUAUUUAUCUGCAAAACAGAACAAGCACCUGUCUUGGCCGUUUCAGUUCUCUGUCCAACACAGUAGCAUAAGUCAACAACACGGAUUUCUGUCUUGAAGGACUGCUAACAAGACUGUGUGCAUACCACAUGGCACAGGCUGAAGACUGUUUACCACUGCAGCACGUGUAGCAGGCGUAUUCAUCUCCCACCCUCCCAUUCUCAGUAUAUAGGCAAUUCACAUUCAGCCUGCCUGGUCCUUGUCUGCGUUCCUUUUUGUGUUGUCUGAGAAAGCAGAACCUUUCCCUGCUCCGGUUCUCUCUGGGUAUUUUAUUUUCUUUUCAGCCAUCAGAACCCAAAUUGUAAACUUGAUGUACGAAAUCUACCAUGUUGAUUGCAUAGGCUCUCCAAAACUCACUUUUCAGCCCCAACCUUCAGAGGACAGCUGUUACUAGAAACUCAGAAUUCCUUGUUAAGAAGCACAUUCUUCACAAGUGCAUCUACUGUGUCAAUUAAAAAAAAAAUAAAAAAUCUUACAGAUCUUUCCAGGUGGAGUUUCUCUAUGCUUUACAAAUUCAUUAAUUAGUGUGAAAAAAGAUGGUAUGAUUUAGAAAGGAAAAAACAAACAUUAAUGUUGAAAUAUAAAUAAUAAACCAUUUGAUGCAAAUUUGCAGAAUUGCAGAAAAAAGCCAAGGUUUAUACAGAAAAGGAUCUGAAAGUUGUAGUGGUCUGGAGAUAGACUAUGCAACGGCAUGCUGUUAGGAAUAAGCAACAGUUGGAGUUUUCCUGUGACCUUUCAAGCAUCUUUACUACUGUUUGUUUACCCAUUCCUUUUAGCCUUUCAGAACAGUUGAUAUAAUUUUAAACAGGCACCACAACACCAGACCUUGGUUCCAACACACCUGAAAAUAAAAUCUGCUGUGAAAAACAUUCUUGAAAAAUUACCUGCUUGUAAUACUGUAAUGCAAUGGAAAGUACAGCAAUAAUAGUGGAGUGGCACAAUCCUAGGCCGCAGCAAACGAGAACAAGCCCAAAUGCUGCAGCAGCAGAUACAGAAACAAAGAAAUUAAAACUGCUUACCUUUGGAAGGCCUCAGGUACACAGAGAUCUCCAGGGAGAUCCCCUUGCCUCCACUGCCAGCCCUUAAAUGAGAGCUGGGAAAGGGGGGAUCGUGGCCCAACCCAUCUGGUCGCUCAGUGCAUUGCAGUGCAUGCACCUGAGCUGCCCUGGCCUGGCCCUGCCUUCCCACCAGGUGCUCCAUCACUGCUUCCAGCUGUGACUUAGCAUUUCCACUACAAUGCUUUUACACAAUAUGGUUUCUAUCUCUUGCUGUGGGAUAUUUGUGUACUUUACUGAAUUCAGGUCUUGAGGAUGCAUACAGCAACUGUGGUGGUCAAAUGAGCUUCAAGAGUCUCUGCUUUCCACUCUUGCUAUUCAGCUCAACUCUCAUGCCUCUCCUUUUGCUGUGGAGAGCUGGCAUAGCUGCCCAUGGGCUAGCAGGGAGCUGAAGUGCAGAACUCAUCCACCUGAAAAAGAAUACAGCAAAAACUUGCAGACAAACAAAACUUAAAGCACAUAAGCAGAAGGCGGGAAGGACUGGGUGGAGAUCUUGGGGAGCACCUAAGGGACAUCACCCUCAGAGAGAUUUACAGAAGCAUCAUCUCAAGGAACCAUCUGGUCACAAAGUACAGUUUCACAACAUUACUCAUUGGGAGUUUUCCCAUUAAUGUUUUAUACUAACAAAGGUCAGAAUGGGUUACAAGAAGGUGGUUGAUUAGGGAAUGAAACAAAACCAUGGAUAAUUUAUUUGCUCUUUAGUCUGUACCAAGUGAAACUACUCAGUAGUGAAAAUCCAAAGAGUUGCAUUUGGAGUCCAAACUGACAGCUUGAGAAAUAACAGGUGAUCAGGAAUGAAUCGGUACCAACAGAGAACUGCUCAUUCUCUGCUAAACAAACUGUCAAGAAACCAAAGCUUGGCUCAGAAGUAUGAGAAUUAAUCAGUUGGUGUCAGGAAGAGCAGUGAUGAUCAUUAAUUUGCCACCUGGACAUAUUCACUGAUGGUAGUCGCUUGUGCACCAGCAAUAGAUAGCAGAUGGGUAUCAAGCCAGGAAAGCAAGAGUGGAUUGGCCCAGCUUCCAAAUUUGUUUUGUAGUUAAGUUAGCAGCAGAGUUUUCUGUCUGUUGAAUGACUCCAAUCUGAUAUUUGUUAGCUAAACAAGCCUAAACAGAAGAAAACCAAAGUGGAGCAUCUGUGCCAGGUAUGUUCAGAUACUCACUCCAGAGUGUCUCAUCAGCAGUCAAGCCUACACAUUUUGCUGUUGCUGUAUGUGGGAAAGGAUCCAAGAGGAACAGAGAUACUCUUCUGGAUUAUUCAAUUCCAAGACUUUUUAAUGUGAGAAGACUAAAAAAAAUCUUUAUGAGGAGUUGAAUAACAUUUCCUCACUCUUCUAACUCAUGCAGUCUAUUUAACUGAUUCACAGACUACACAGUGUCUCCCAUAACUUUAGAUACUGGCACAUAAAUUUGGGGUGUAAUCAUCUUAAAGUCUCAUACUCUCAUCAGAAAGUUUUGUUCAGAGUGAAUAACUUUUCAGAAUUUAGUCUACAAACAGAGUGAGCCUGAGCUCUCUUUCUAGCUUGGAGUCACUCGAUGGCUGAAAGUCACGCUCUUUGCUGAAGAAAAACCUCUUACCUUUGGAAGGCCUCAGGCAUGCAGGGAUCUCCAAUGAGAGGGCUGGGAAGUGUGGAUCCUGGCUCAACCCUUCUGGUCACUCAGUGCAUUGCAUUGCAUGCACCUGAGCUCGUUGGGCUGGCCCUGCCUUCCCACCAGGUGUUCCAUCACUGGCUUGGGCCGUGACUUAGCAUUUCUGCUACAGACAUGAAAUGUAAAAGUUUGGCAGAAAAGAAAGUAAAAUAAAGCCUUACUAGAAGAUAGAAGAGCACUGUUGUGGAGAGCUGAACAAGGUGUGAUGUGGAAGAAGUUUGUUGAUGUGAUCUGCCCUUUUACUGAUAUAUAUACUCAGGCAAAUAUCUUGAGUAGCAUGGAUAACUGUAAUGAUAAUUAUUUAAAAACCUAGCACAAAAAUAUUACAAAACACUAGUCUUUUAUUUUUGUAAAGAAAACAACAAGUCGGCGAGAGUACAAACCUGAUAUUAUAGGGUAUUAAAAAACAGCCAUUAAGACAUUUUGCCCUGGAAAUUGGUAUUUUCGGAGAUGGAAAUUAUAGUCCUGUGCUUCCUGCCAACAGUCUGUAGGCAACAAGGUUUUUCUUUUCAACUGUUAAUUUAUUUUUCUCUAAAGAAUGUGUGUACAUGAGUUAACCAAGCUUGCCCCAUACCUGCUUUUUUGAGCAGAACUAUCUUUCUAGUAGUGCUCUAUAGGAGCAAAGCUCCCUCCCACUUCACAGAAGAUGGCACCAUUCAGAAAGAGUUGUUUCAGAACAUACCUGGUUUAAUGAUAGGAUCAGUGAACACAGCAGUGUUUUCUUGGCAACAGGUUGAAAAGCUUGCAGCUAAACAGUUUCUUUGGAACAGUUUAUUGGCAUUCCAUCUCUGCAUUAGAAACUUGGAUUUCACUUCUUAUUUUGUUUUUCUGUUCCCCUGGUUCAUUUCCUCUAUCGUUUUUUUCCUAAUGAUACAUAAAAAUAACAUGCUGCGUUCUUUGUCCUGAGCAGAGAAUUAACUGUGUUGCUCUUUGAAUUUGUAAGGAGGCAGAUUUGGUAAGAAUUCUAGUUAUAGGUAUACAUUAUCCAAUAAUGAAAAAGGUAGCUAAAUGAAAAUCAUCAACAGCAUAGGUGGAAAGGAAACAAUUUAAAGAGGUAAGUUUUAAAUGUUUAACUUCCAUUAUCACCACUGCUGAACUUAUAUUCUGUGCAUAAGCAUUUUGCCUUAGAAUUUAAUUUUGCCCUCCUGCUGAAAUGAAAUACUUAAAUUCAUAUUUUGAAGUUGGCAAAUCGAACUUAAGGGCAAUGCUUAUUAGGCUGAGACAUUCUGCUGUGUCUUGUGAACGCAAAGUGUUAGCAUUUGGUUGCUUUUUUAAUCUGAAUUGUUAAACAGGCAUUUUCCACAUCCAUGCACUUCCCUAAGAACAAGGCAAAAAAUAGUCAGAGUCAUUGAGGAAAAGGACAAGAGUUAACAGCUGGCUAGUAUGGCUUCUGGAAAACUAAACUUUUCUUAAUGCUUGUCACAGCAAUAGCACAAAAACUCAGUUUGAAGUUUGCAUGACUGUAUAAUGUAUUCAUUAGUUGUUAUAAUGUUUUUCACCAAAUCUGGAAAUAAUACAAGAAAGAAUUGUUGUUCAAAUAGUUUACUCCACAUUUAUGAAGAAGUACUAUUCCUGGUAAAAGUUAGAAAAAUCUCAUUGGUAGCCAAAGUGAACAGUCUACUUUUGUCAGAUCUCAUACUUGAAUGUGGUGCAGGAAUAUAACACCUGUCCUGAAUUGCCCAGGACCCUCAUGUUUCCAGGGCUACAUGCUUACUAGAGUCCAGUCCUAUCUCAGCAAUUUUCUGUGUUCUGCAUCUGGAAUGAAUAUUCUGUUUCCACCUUCAUAUCUCAAGAAAUAUUUUUUGGGUGUAUCUUCAUUUUAUCUAUUUCUUCACAUAACGCUUAUUGAAUUAUAUGACAUUUACUAUGAUGUCUCAAUAGUGCACGUUUUUUUUUUCUGCAAGGGUUGUAAAUCAUCUGCAGAAUAGAUGUUUGGCUACCUCCAACAUUUCUGAUAUUAAAUGUGAGAAAAAUGCUUUUUGUUAACUGGAGCCAUGUGUACAUAUGCAGAUUAUUUUUGAGCCAUGUACUGCAGAAAAUGUAACUCUGUUUCUUGUAUUUCACACAAAUAUUUUUGUCUGAUAUAUCUCUUUCAUCAUAGCUUUCAUAUUUUCAUAUUACUUCUUUUAACUGAGUUGCAUUACAGCUGUUUACAGUACCAAGCCACAUAAGAGUUAGAAACAGAGGAAAUGGGAAAAGUAAGAAUAAACAGUUUAAUUCUUAAUCAGCUACUGCUUUUGAUACUUUAAACAUGGUGAUCGCUAAUGCGGAAAGCUCUGGAAGCCUUAGUAAGCUGGCUUGAUCAUCUGAAGAAUGCCAGUACUUCUUAGGGAAAGUUCGUGAUUCAUACUCAAGGAUUAAGCCAAGAGAAUCUUGUGACCUAAGCAGCCUGGCUCUCCACUGGUAAAAAUGGGAUUUUCUUAUCUUCACAAAAAUAAUAAUUGAGACAGAGAGCAGGGAUGGAAACAGACAGUAUACAUUUGAUUGCAGAGCUAGCAAUGCUCAAACAGCAUAAGGGAAAUGGCAGUUUUGGCAAAUUGUGAGUGUCGUGAUAGAAAAAUAAACUACAGUAUGUGAAGUGUUCCUCAGAGAUGAAUCACAGCGUGUCUGAGAAGCAGCAGAAAUAUGAACUGUAACAAAAAACGAUAGAUAUUUUGUCUUCAGUGUCUUGGGUGAUCCUUAGGAAAUGUUUAGUCGUUCACCUGGUAAUUCAGGAAACAGCUCCUCCCUGGGUAUCGAUCUCUUCAAAAUGAUUGCAUUAACGUGUAUUUCUUUAUGGUAGGUCACCAGUGCAAGAAGUGUGAGAUUUGGAGUGAUGACAUGAAAUCGAAUCCUAUUUCUAAUAAUAAACAUUUACUUGACAGAGUCAGUCAACUUCAAUAUUAUAGUUUCUCCAUUUCUACAACUGAGAUAAUAAUUUAGCUUUUUAUUUAUUUGUUUAGAAUCUUGCAAAAAUUACCUUUGAAAUAUGAGCAAUAAAGGAUACAACACAUGGGAGCAUUGCAAACUGACUCCCCGACCAAGAAAGUUGCAUAAACGCAUAUCCUUUGGCAGAGCUCACUGAUAUAAACAACCUUGGUUAUAUUUAGAUCCACAUCUAGGUGCCUUGCCACCUCUGUCAUCUCUCUUUAUUCUUAUUUUAGGGUUUUAACUACUUAUAUUUAAUAGAUCAUAAGGAAAUAGAAGAUACAAAAGCACUAGCUAUCAUUACUUUUUGAGACAAGCAAAACAUUAUUGGUGCAUUAUAACUCCAGUCUUGUUUUGCAUUAAUUUCCCUUAAAGGGAGGAUCAAUAUUAGCAAGCAGAACUGUAAUCAUUGUGUAAAUCUGAUUUUUCUGUUGGUUUCUUUAAAAAUCAUGCAGUCAAAUUACUUAGCAUUUCCUUAGCAUUCACAGUGCAGAAACAUCUGAUAGGUACGGAGAGAAUUUUCAGCAGCAGCUUUUGUGGGGACUGCAUAGGCAGGUAACAGCAAACUCCUUUCUGGGUAGUGCUGUGCUGGCAAAUCAGUGAUGAGGGAAUGAUGCUGCAAGGGACACAUGUAGGCACAGUAGUAAUUUUGAUAACAUCCAACUGUUCUGUUGAGGAAAAUGUACAUUUAAAGCUUCUGAUCUGAUUUCUUCAGGGAAAAAUUACCAUCGUUAUGUUCCUGCACUCAGUUGCAACAUCUCAAAUUCAUGUUUAUUCAUACAUGCCUUUGUAAUCCUGUUGAGUUGCAGUGGGAAUUAAACAAAUUGUACAACAAAAAAGUAUAAAUCAUUGCAGUACAUAAAGCAGUUUCCAUCACUGCUCCUAGAAACUACUCAAAUAACAGUAAUGUUUGAUCUUCUGUAAAACAUAUCAGUGCAUUUAAAUUUUAAUUCUCUUCUGUGAUGUUUGGAGAAAAAGUAGACAAAUUGCAUUAAGAAAGUCAGUUUCCAUACAACGUUACUUUAAACAGUUUCAGAAAUUACAGGCUAAAUCUUUAAAAAUUUUCCUUCAGUUUCAGCAGUGCACCAUGCCUUGGUGAGAAGUGGAAGCAGACCUUUAGAGAUGCAUCCUGGACACUCCUUUUGCCCCCCUUGGUGAAAGAAGGAUGGGAUGCUGCCAGGACAGCCACAGUUUCUGCAACACAAAGCUGAAAUUACAAGAUUGUUGUCGUAAGAAAGCAGAAACAGUGUAUGGCACUCCGUGCCCUGCAGUGCUGCCGUUCUUCCGUUGUUUUUACAAACAUUGCUACCUUUCUAGGCAGCCAGGGCUGCUAAUUUCUUCUCAUUACAACUAUAUGAAAAAGAAGUGAGAGAUACCUCUAGUACACCAAUAUUAAUAUGGUGAAUAAUUAAGCCAUCAAGAAAACUGUAUAUGUUUUCAAAGAAGCCAAGCACCUGCACACGGACGAUUUCUGUCUUAUAGCUGUGUUUGAGAAUAGUGAGAAUGGGGAAAAAAGCCUUUGCUGUAUCUCCUUCAAGACAGACAGGAGUGUGUUUAUUUUCACCAAAUAUCCAUACACAUAUGACACUCUCUCAGAAAUGGACAGUUGCUGGAAGAGUAACACCUUUUUAUUCCUUAUGAUAUAUGUCCCGCACGUGCAUCUCCUGUAUGUGUGCAAAUACAGGAGGAAGGAAGUCCUGGAAGACUUGGGAGCUCUCAGUGGGAAACCAAGGCAAAGGGCACAGUUCUCAUACAAAUGGGCAAAGGUAUCUACAUUCCACAGUGCCAAGCAACCAUCAAAUCCUGAAGAGAUUCCUAAUCCUUAUUCUUGUCCUUCUUCAGGCAUCUGGGCCUCAUUGAAGUCUUGCAAAUAAUUAAGAAUAUUAGACCUCUGGUUACUGAUCAUCUUGCAGAAGUAUGUAUUUCAUCUAUCUGUCCUGGAUUUCUUUUUGCUUCUACCCCAUAUUGUGAGACAGGAUAUUACAAUAAGUUCUUCAUAUUUCUUUGUCAGUGUAACAACAUUCUCCAGGCAAAAUGUGUCACACUUUUCUCCAUCGGAUUGUUAUUUCUCUAGAGCCAUAAAAGUUGGCAUACCAUAAGUGCCAGUGGUGCUUAAAAGCCUGUCUUGAUGGGGAAAUGGAUUGCAAAAAUAGUAUUUCCUUACUUUUGUAAUGAAAAAAAAAGGAACAGUUUUGUAAAAUAGCUGUUCAGUGAAAUACACAAAAAUGCCAUUAGUAUGAAGGAUAAAAGUUCUCCUGCAAUGCAGGAAGAGACCCUUUUUCGUUGUGCUUUUAUUAUUUGUAAUUAAUGUGCUCACCUCAGAUUUCUGCCAACAGCCCAGCGCAAAAUGAAUCUCUGUGCAUUCUCUCUUUGUUUCUCCUUGUUCUAUCAUGCUGUGUACCAUUAUGAGAAUGUAAGGGAAUAUAUGUAUGUAUAUAUAUGGCAGGAUCUCUAAUCACAUAUUUUUUGCUAAUUUUAGUUCAAAUACAGAGUUAGUGACAAUGUCAAUACAAACACAGUCUGUUUCAAGGUGUGUAUACCCGUGUAACAAAAACAGUCAGGAAAGGACUUAGGGAGCACGGGACAGAGGUGUGCAGCAGAACGCACCUCUUCUGUGCCAUAUCCAAAUACGGUACCUAAUUUUCAAUAGAAAAGGCAAAAACAUGGAAACAUGGCCCCAGUGUCCGCAAAGUGGACACUGCACAAACAGCAGAAAAUGCUUAUUUUUCAUCUAAUGAAGUGACUAGUCAAAUUCUGCUUACUGUAUCCUGUGCGUAGCAUAGUUGCUUAUGCGUAUCAGUAUAGAAUUUAUAUUCCUCUAUCUGCACCAGCCGAAAACACAUACCACAGCCAUAGUGGUGUAGUGUGUACAAAGGAGGCCGAUUCAUUGAGGACAACAGAUAAAGUGUCCAUAGCAGUGAAAGCUCUGGUUACUGAGGCCAAAAAAUGUCUUUUUUCAGCAGAUCAAUUUGGGCACUGACGAAUUAUUUUUCAUUUUUCAGCUGCACAAAACUUUUCCUCGCAUUUCCGUCUUAUUCGAGUGAACUAAUAAGCCCCUGGUACAACUCUUGAUACUGCAUAUCAACUUGUCACGUGUGGCAGCAUUUGCCACAAGAAAAUGUUUAUCUUUUUGCCCCACUCAAAGCAAUCAGCAGAACAGAAAGCUCCUGCAGAAAGACCCUGGCAGUGGCCUGCAGCCUAACAGGACUCCAGUUUGUGCUGUUCUGUUUUUCAUUCCUAUGUCUUUUUUUAUAUGAGUAAGCACAACAUUUUCUAAACUCCAAUGCUAAAGAUUGCUAAUGAAUAGCUACAGCUUGAAGAAAAAAAAAAUCCAAAAGACAUGCAAAUUAUCCUUUGUUCUUUCCAGUUUUUCUAACACCUGAAUGCCAAACACAUACGUCAGCAUUCUGCAGAAUGACAAAACAAAGUCCCAAUCCCCUACUGCAUUUAGAUGUGCUGGUGUGAAAAACAGAAGUGUUGUUCAGUGUUUCAUAGGUGAAACAGGAAAGUACUCUUUCCUCUUUGCUGUGAUAUUGAUAAAAAGAAGUGAGAAUAUGUCCUUGGGAUACACGUAAAUGAUAAUGCUAUCCACUAUUACGCUGCACUUGAAAAGUUAACUUUUAAGAUAAGAUAAACUUGCUGUUACAGGUAUUGUUACAUAUGGUGCAGAAUUAACACUGACCAGGGACGUUUUCUUAGGGAUAUAGGCAAGCAGAAACACAGUGCAGCAGCUCUCCAUUUCUUGCCUGCUUGCAGGUCACUUCUGAUAAAAAAUCAACAUAACCAGACCCACCAAACAACGGUAACACUGGACUGGUGCCCUCCAGCCCCCACCACGUUCACAGAGCACUUGCUGCAGUGCCAAAGCAUUGCACAGCCCCAGCAAGGGCAGGCAUUCAUUCCCCCCUGCACUGUAUGAGCAUCUGUGUUUCAGGACACUGUACUGAGUGUCCUGCUUUUGGAGAAAAUCAAGAGACUUGAAUUCACUAAUUGGUGUAGCUUUUUCACGCAUGCAUGCCAUAGUGGGAUGUUAGCACAAGGUACGUUAUCAGUAAAUUGCAGCUGUGGCUGUCUUCUUUCUGGCAGGAGUGCCUUGAAACAGCAACCUUAUGUUUUUUUUUUUUUUUUUUUUUUUUAAUUCUUGGAAGUUUCUGUUUAUUAACAGGAUAAUCAGCAAAGGAGGAGAUAGGGAUAAAGCUGGUAUGGGAAGAUAUUGUGGUUAAAGCCAGAGCGGACUUGCCCUGAGCCGCUGCCCCAAAUGACAGGAAUCAGCGUUCUGCAGGGAGCUGCUGGCUGCAACUCCUCACUGUGCCUAGCAAAGUGCAUGCAGUAGCUCACCUUGCCUCAUCCCACCGAAGGCCCUUGGCACCUCCCUGGGAUGUGGAAGUGCCUACAUGACAUACCUUAGCUCUCCUGAGCAGCUCUUCUGCGAUGCAGGUGCAGCAGUGCACUGCACUGUAUCUUGAUUCCCCUCCUUAAAUUUAUUCUCAGGACUGCUAGCUCUGAAGAAAUAUUUUUCUUGACAGCGAUGUAAUGUGAUAAACACAUUUUACAUAUGCACAUUUCAGGGAAAAUCCUAAUUUUGCUACAGUCUAAAGACUCUGACUCUAAGUAUGUGUGUAUGUAAGAAUCAGCUGUUGAAAUCUACAGGCUGCAUCUCCAAACAGUUGUAUGAAAAAUGGCUUCUGUUAAAAAACACAUUUUUUCUGAUAUUCUUAAAAGUUUAUGUGUCACAUGAGAAAAUAACAUAGAACAAAUGUAAAAUCAGAUCAGCUUUAAUGCUCAAAACUAUUGCACUGCUCUUUAUAUAGUAUUGUCACAAGCACAGUUCCCCAGAAGACUCUUAAAAAAUAAUUAGAAUCCCAGUCUUUUCCCAUUAAGUCUGUUUUAUAUAAAGGUGAUAAAAAUUGUAGCUCUGGGAGUAAUCCCUCUGCAGAUCUUUAAUACUGCAGAACAUGACAGAAUCUGUGCAGUCUCACACGUUUUUAACACAUCAGCCACAGAGUCUUUUGGAGCAUUACUUGGAAAUUAAAAGUUUACUGAACAAACCCCUUUAUUCAUAAUAUUAAUAAUUUAGUUAUCUAAUACUUUAUAAGUGCUUUUGGUCAUUUUCAGAGCUGCAUAAGCCUCAAGCCAGCACCUUUCACUCACGUUAGAAGGUGCCAGGAAUCACUUUGUAAUCAACAAGCCAAAUAGAAACACAGAGGUAGUGAUAGGAACAUUUAGAAUUAAUGCAAUGUCUAGCUUUUCUACUGCUUUCUGCCUGGACACGCUACUGAAAUGCUUUUCCACGUUGGAAUGGAUAUGUAAGCAUGUUUUGACCUGUGAGCACAAUACUGUGCAACACAGCUCAUUCAGUCCUUCAAGACAGUGGUUUUCUUAUUGCAGCAUCUACCUGGGCAUCAAGGGUUUGGGGUUCUGGUCAUAACAGCUAGCUCCCCUUGUGACCUACAGGAUAUGACUUAACCUGUAAGAUUUUCCCGCUGAAAAAAUGAGAAACACUUCUUCAGGAAAACGAAGAAGAAAAAUUCCUUGGGGUUAGAACAGUAUAAAAUGGGGGAGAGGUGUGUGAAUCUAGUUUCUUUCCUACAUUACCAAGUAUUCUAAAGGCUCUUUGAAGAUAUUUGGCACUGAGAAAGGGACAAAGUGAUGCAGUAUAUUCAUUAUUUCUUCUAAGCUAGUUAGUGAAGUCAAGAAUACGUUUUACACAACCCAGCCCUACAUGUGGCUACUGAAAUAAAUGCUACUAGCACUGCACAUGUGAAGUGAUGAUAUACUGUGCUGCAAUGCCCAGACAAAAACACGGUAUUUACAUUUAUGUGUUCUGCCUUUCCAUCAAGAAAACUGGAAAAUUGCAGAAUUUGAGUACUCUGCUGCCUACCAGGAAUAAACUGUGCCUGAGGAGGAGUGUGGACUCAGCAUCGCCCAGCAGGGCCAGCAGCAUCCCUUCCUCCUGCCCACACAAACACCUCCUGAGCAAAAAGUACACUGUCGCUGAGCACUCACAGUGUCUCUUCUAGGUUUCAUCUUCAAUUUCUUUAUUUGGGGACUGUGUGGGGAUGUGAUUUGAAUAUUGGAGUGUGCAUGCCUUUAAUCUAACUAAAAAUACUGGGCAGAUCUUUUAAUUUGAUUAAAAGCCUGAAGUAUGGUCCUAAAAGCAGUUAACAUUCUGAGUGAGGUCCACUAUAACAAAGUCAUUCAAAUCUGUGAAAAAUCUGUGUCACAUUUUUAGACACACAUACUGAAUUCUUAAGUUAAAAACACGCUCAUUGCACCAGCAGAGUGCAACUCACCCUUAUGCCAAAAUAUGUUCCUUUUGCUAGGUACCGUGCAGUUAUCAGCAUGUCCCUCCCAUUUAUGACUUAAUGACAUUCGUUUAUCAACAGGUGGUGGCAUAUCUUGCAAUUACAUUUUAAGCAACAUUAAACGCAACCAAAAAUAAGGUAAAUAAAAGAAAAUCAGUUGCUCUUUGAAAGUGUUUUUAGAGAGAAGCUGUACUUAGAAGCUAGGUCUUCAAGUAGCUCACACCAGGCCCAGCAACACAGAAGAAUACUGCAAGAGCAAUAAGGAUUUUUAGGGGCAUUAUGAUAGUGUAAUGGAAACACAUCUGCCCCCAAAAGUCCCUCAUUUUCCCUGCGGUAAAGAGCCAUGCAGGAAGUGGUGAAUUCUGUGGAACAUUGAGAAUGAAACUAUAAAGCAAUUUUUUUUUUUUGUUAAAACACUUUUCCAACAAUACUUCAGGAUUUCAGCAUUUCCUGAGCCCAGUCCAUAGGAAAACAGUAGUUUUCCAAACAAUCGCUAGCUCACACACCUGGGCUGCAUUAAUCGGUUCUGUCCAUCCACCAAAGUGAAUUCUGACAAAGUUCCCUUGAAAACACUGUUAGUACUGGAAAGCUAGGAGGAGGAACUACACAGAAUUGUAGGGCAAUUUUUGUUCUUUCACCUAUCCAGGAUUUCAAAACAAAGCAGAAUGAUCAACAGGAAUAGUUGACCUGCAUCUCUGUUUUCUAAGGAUUUGCUUCAAGUGACGGUGCAAAGUUAGGUUUGUAGGAAAAGGGAGUACAUAAUAAAGUCAUACAACUGUUACGUUUUGUUUUACAGCAUUUCAAUAUAUUUUAUGUGUAGUCAUGUGAGCAAUUUCCCAUACAUAGAGAAAGUCUGCUCAGAGUACAAACAAAUAGAGGAAUCCCCCUUUGGUUAAGACUGCAUAUUGCAUAUUUACAAAUCUCCAUAGCAAAGCAGCACACUGGAACUGUUAUGCCUAUUCAAAUCAACAAGCCUAAUGAAAAGUCUCUUUUAAAGUAAUUAACUACUACCACUACUACACACUAACUACCACUUAGUGGGCAUAUUCUUCAAUGGAUCUGUGGAGCAUAAUAUAUAGAAUACAAUAUUGUUGGGGAAAACAAACAAACAAACAAACAAAAAAAAAACAGUAACCAAUUGCUUAUAUGUUAUUUAAUAUGCCAUGCUAUGUAAUCCAUUCGGUCUUUGUUCCUGUACCCAUGUUCCAGAAACAUUACUGUGAUCUUGCCUGAAUUUGGUGUUGAUGCAGCUCCGGUGGCUUCCAGCAGCACCCAUGUGCCAGCUGCCAGGCCUUGCCUGCUUUCAAGGAGGCCUUUUGUUGCAAAAGAAAACUUUUAUAUGGACAGCAGCAACAACAAAGUAAAAACUUAGGUUCUGAUGACUCUACAGACUGAUGUUUCCAACAGAAUUUAUAGAUAACAAAUAGAAAUAUCCCAGCAGUAAAAUCACUGCAUUCUAUUACUGAUCCCGGAACAUCCUGCAGUGCCUUUUCUCAGCCUUUCCAAAAAGCGUGUACACGUGUCCUGUCGUAGAUGACAGAACACAUUUUGUCUUUCUUUAUUUCUCCCGGCCUACAAAACUGUCACUUUCAGACAUGGAUCUCUUGCUCCUGCAUUAUGUCAGCUUGUAAGGAAAGGCCAUGAAUCUAUUAAAAUGAUUACCAGUAAAGAUGUGCACCCAGCAGCCACCGACAGGACCGGCCCGGCCCCACGGCAGAACUGCUGGCACACUCUGACAAAGGCAGAAAAGUCAAUUCUCUGUUCUUUUUUCAAUGCCUGUGCAUUUACCAAAUUCCCCAAAUGUUUGCAUCACUUGAGGAAAAAAGCAUAUUACCUUGCAAAGAGUUAUUUAGUUAUUUGCACUGAGAACAGGGCAAGCGGUGACUUAAACUCACUUAAAGUCCUCCAUUUCACCAGAAUGCUGUACUCUUAAGCUGCACGUUCUGAAGCAGCUUUAUACGUCGAAUAGAACCGCUUUUAUUCCACUUCUUCCACCACAGGUGCAGCUUCCACAUCAGAGCAGUUUUUCCUCUAAUAUUUUAAAAAAUGUUUUAAAUGUGACUGUUUUUUUUCUUUCAUAACCAGCAAAUACAAUUUUCAAGACAAAAAAAGGUGAUGAUACCUCUGUGAGAUGCAUGUGAACAGAUUUUCUUUCGGUGUGUGGAGCAGGCCUUGUGCAGGCGAGCAGUGCUGAUGCGUACAGUUAGAAUUGCGAGGGAAGAGCAAGCCAGCACAACACACCACGGCUGCCCGCAUUCCUGCCCUGGAAGAACUCCAGACAGCCUCACAGAGGGGGAUGACUGACCUCACAACCUGUACUACGGUACAGCUUGGAGCCAGGUCCCGAGUUCCCAAACUCUGGUCACUGCCACCCUCUCCUUCCCAAUGGCCGUAUUGGAGGGCAGUCACAAAACUCUUGUGGUAACUUGUGGUCAGGGCAUGUCAGAUGCUGAGGCCCUGCUUCAGAACUCAGGCCACAGAGCAAUCCUCAAGCCAUACCACCCGGUUCUGAUCUCGCUGCUUCCAGUAAUGUGUCCACAUAUUUCUAAAGUGAGCAGACAGACACCGGAUAACCCUCUCCUGCUUCACUGUGCAUAAGCUGUUUUUUAAAGCUUUGCUUCAAAAUGCUGAAAAGUCAUUCUAAAAAUGAAGUUUUAAUUUAUUUUACAUAGAAAACAACUAGUAGGGCUUUCAAUUUUAUAAAUGAUGAAUGUGAUAAAUAAUUGGAGUUGAUCUUUCUAAAUACUAUCUUUUCGAUACUUUGUGACACUUUUUAUCUCGAGAAAAAUGAAUUUUGAUUCCGAAUAUACUGCCUUCUUUUCAUCUUCCCUAAAUUCCGUCUUGCUUUUCAAACAAAUGGAUCCUGGCUGUCCCAUUGCUGAUGCUGGGCACUGCGGGACGCUCCAGGAGCAGUGGUGCUGGGGCCACCCCCACCAUGCACAGAAGCCCUGAGGAGAUCACCACAGCAAAGAUCACAUUUUUGCAGGAUAAAUGUUUAGGGUAUCAAUCAAGGCUUUUUCUAAUUGUGAUUAAUUUGGUUAACACGUAUAAGGUAAAUAUACAUUUAAAGCUUAACAGCUACAUGUGAUAUCCAUCACAGUAGAAACUGUCCAUUUUACUGCACACGAGAGAAACAGGGGCUCAUUAUGUAGGCUUAGUGAUGGGAAAGAAGGUGAUGAACAAUUUUGGGUGAGAAAAGCCUACAGAACUAUCGCUAUGAUCUUUAAGAGUGCUCAGUAGCCACUUAUGGUCACACACACUUUAUAACUGUGUUAAUUGCACUUGAAUGAGUACAUGUGCAUUUUCUUUAUCAUCAGUAGAGAACGAGAUAGAAUCUAUCUGGAAAAAAAAAUCAAAUCUAGCUGUUUAACAAAAUGUGAAGCACGCCUCACUGAAACAGUACAAAAAGACAUGCUUCAAUUGAAGAGCCUUGAGGAAAAAGUCCAUGAGCAGCAGAGCAGAGCUGAUCUCUUGUUUCCUUGAGAGGUUUCCUUGAGAGCCAGACCUUCCAAUCAGCCUGCUUUCCAGUACCUGAUUCUCUGCUCUUCUGUUCUUGGACUACUGGCAGUGAGUCCACAGGAGCCAAACAAACCUGAGUCUCACAACUUGUGACACUGGACACGUCUGCAGUGUACUCACAAACUAAGCACUAUAAAUCCAAAAUAAAAAUAAACCAACAGCUUAAUCAGUUCCUGAAAACUUAACCUUCUGAAAAACGCUGCUCUGGAACAGUGUUACUCCACGCAGGACAGGAGCUAAAAAGCAUACAAGUAGCACAAUGGUGACCUUAGCUCUCCCAAGUCAGAUUUCAGUCUUGAACAAGCGAGUAAUGUGUUGCACGGAGGUUUUGCUAUGUCCUAUUUCCUAUGUGUAGCCAUUAUAUAGCUAUACAAUGUGAAAGAGCAGAAUUCCAUGGAAAAAUAUCAGUAAUUCAGCACAGUAUCAAUUUGCUUCAACAUACAGAUCCUGCAUAUCAUCACCUGAUAUGUCCCAAACCAACACCUUAUUUUUUUAACCCUGCACUGCUGCGUAACUUCAGCUGAAUUGCCACGCUUGUCUGAAGUGCUCACAUGGACGCAGUUUGAGUAGGUCAGUGCUGGAAGUGCCUCUGCCUGCAAGCUUAGUGUGACAGCUGCAUCCAGGUGUCAGUCUGUAACUUCAGCAAAUAAUUAACUGCUACCGAAUGCCACAGCCACCACAGGCACACUUACAGUGACCAAGAGCGUGCUCCUGAAUCCCGUGUGCUGCAGACAUCGGCCGCCUCUCACACUGUACAAUUUAUAGUGUCCUUCAUUCUGUCAUCAAUAUACGUGUGCUACAGUUGGAGCCACAAUAAAGCUCAACUUAUCCACUAACAACCUUUAAACACCUACUAGAAUUUCAUUUAAAAGUCACCUACAAGUACAAAUUAUGCUUAGAUCCUUUAGGCUGCUGGUAUCAAAAUGUAAGCAGUAGCGUAGACUUGAAUAGCCUUACCAAGCUCAGACUUACUCGUCACAGCAUGCUAUAACAUCUUUUAUCAGUACACAAAUUAGUCAUCUUCACAUUGAUUUAAAGAUACAGACCAUGCACACGCACAUGCACACGCACACACACUGGGCACGCACUGAAGAAACAGGCUGUCUGGAGAGGGAGAGACGUGCAACUGACAUAGUUUGUCAGCAAAGGAACUGUGGAGGGGACAACAGAAAUGUUCCUUCAGGUUGGACCAUUUUCUGCGGGUUUAAGCUGUCUCUCUUUGCUAGAAAUAUCUUUUCUUUUCUCCCAGUUCACUUAUGCCAAACAACUACUCUUUGAAACAUCACUUUGUCUUCUGCUAGGUUUUUAUGGAGAAAAAAACAGAGACCUUUUAUAAGCUACAACAGUGCUUAGAAAGCCAUUUCAUGUUUAAUUUGGGGGAUGCUAGUGUUACCUGUCCACAUUUUACUGCUGAAGGUGACGUUAAAGUUGAAAUAUUGUUGCAUAUUUAAGUGUGCAGUAGCCCGUUACUGAGUGCAGCAGUAGCUUAGUGCUAAGUUUAGUGUCCAUUGUAAGACCAGAACGCAUUGGUUUCCUUUGCAGAACAAAGUGACCACCAAAAGCGGGACUUUGUGGGCCAGUUGGAUAAAACAUAAGCUCAUCUCGCCCCCAAAACCCCGACUCUGGAACCACAGCCUUCUGAGAUUCAAUUUGUAAGUCAAGUAUCUUUGUAAGAUACACCCAAUUAAUUGAGAGAAUCACUACUUAUAAGUAGCUAACCUGGGAACUGAUAAAUGAGACUUGUAUCCAAGUCACAACACACACUGCCUUUUCGGGACGGCAGGAAUUAAUUGCUAACAGAUACCUUGCGGUCUUACUCACACGUCAGGAUUGGUUUGUUUAGUUAAGCAGCACCUUCUGUAAGCGCCCAUAAAGUCACAUUGAACCCACCCAGAGCAGCAGAUUUACCAGACCCAGCAUCCAAAGUAUCUAUUCUUAUCUUUCCAAAGGAUCAGCUUGUGUGUCUGUUCUUCUGUAUCGCAGGCUAAAGCAGAACCGUUGCAGGAGGUGUCUGCCCUGACUCCUGCUGGGUUACAGCUGCGGCCCUCCAGAAGGGGCUUCACGCGACCCGAGCGCGGCCGUUCCCUGCUGACAGCGGCAGGUCGAGCGCUCCGCUGGGUAUCUGCAUCGCACAGCCCUCAGCACUGCGUUCCUCCACAACUUCUUUAAGGGAUGAGGAGAGCUCUGCAUACAAAGGGAACGUAUUUUCUGAAUCCUCCGUUUAUAAUUCCUACAGGUUUUCUAAAUAAAUACCGAGUUUAAAAGCAUUAUAGUUUACACUUGGCGGCCGAAGUAGGUAAAUGCUGUCAGUUACGUUAAAGAAACGAAUUACUGUGCUUGAAAAGCCACUACUACGUUUAUGCUACUUUUGGAAAUCCAAAUCUGGAGCCAAGGAAUGCUGUGCUAGCCGGACUGCAUGCUCAGCAAACACAUCUCGAGAGAAAAACGCGAAGUAGAUUGCAGACAUUCCGACUAAGCGGUACGGAUAAACGCGGGCCUGCAGCAACAGCAACGGACGGAUUCGUUUCUCCUUAAGAUACCGGGCUUUUCUGAGGGCCGCCGCAGACAGCAGCUCACCCGCACCGCCCUACGGCCGCCCCGCGCCGGGCGCACACCUGUAGCUCCCGCGGGGACGGCGCGGCC
ensembl:lncRNA